rnacentral:rRNA from 1 species
GUCUUAUUUGAUUAUAAUUUUAGGUUUAUUCUGCCCAUUGAUUUUAAUUAAAAGGCUGCAGUAUAUUGACUGUACAAAGGUAGCAAAAUAAAUAGUUUUUUAAUUGGAAACUGGAAUGAAAGAGUGAAUGAAAUAUAAAUUGUCUCAAGAUAAAAAAGUUGAAUUUAAAUUAAAAGUAAAAAUGCUUUUUUGGAGUUAUUAGACGAGAAGACCCUAUAGAAUUUUAUAAAAAUUAUUUUAAAAAUUUUAUUAUAUUAAUUUUUUUAUAGAGUAAUUAUAUUUUAUUGGGAGGAUAUUUAAAUUUAUUUAACUUUAAUAAAAAAUAACAUUGAUUUAUGAAUAUUUAUUAUUGAUUAUUAUUAUAAUUAUUAGAAUAAAUUACCUUAGGGAUAACAGCGUUAUAGUUUUGGAGAGUUCAUAUCGAUAAAAUUGUUUGCGACCUCGAUGUUGAAUUAUGAUAAAAAUUAAAUGUAGAAAUUUAAAAUUUUAGUCUGUUCGACUAUUAAAAUCAUACA